AUGUUCUCUGUAGCUCUGCUGCUGCUGCUGGCUGCUGGAUCCUGUGUGAAAUGUGAAACCUUGACACAGCCAGCCUCUCUGACUGUCCGGCCAGGUCAAACUCUGACCAUCACCUGUCAGGUCUCUUAUUCUGUUAGCAGCUAUGCCACUUCUUGGAUCAGACAGCCUGCAGGGAAAGGACUGGAGUGGAUUGGAUGGGUUCAGGGUAGCAGCACAGGCUACAAAGAUUCACUGAAAAACAAGUUCAGUAUGUCCACAGCCUCUUCCAGCAACACAGUGACUCUAACUGGACAGAAUCUGCAGCCUGAAGACACUGCUGUGUAUUAUUGUGCCAGAUAUCCACAGUGA